rnacentral:tRNA from 1 species
CCCAGUGUGGCCGAGAAUUGGCGUACUUCGUAAACCCUAACUUUAUAAACAGUUUAAGCCCGAAUCCAAUGUCACCCCAAGGUCACGAUUACGGCAGACGCUGAGGACUUAAAAUCCUCUGGGCGGAAACGCCCGUGUGGGUUCAAAUCCCACCGCCGGUA